AGCCGAGUGUUUAAGGCGAUGAACUAGAAAUCCAUUGGGUUUUCCCCGCGUAGGUUCGAAUCCUAC
rnacentral:tRNA from 1 species